rnacentral:rRNA from 1 species
GCAAGUCGAGCGGAGNGAGGNGCUUGCACCUUAUCUUAGCGGCGGACGGGUGAGUAAUGCUUAGGAAUCUGCCUAUUAGUGGGGGACAACAUUCCGAAAGGAAUGCUAAUACCGCAUACGUCCUACGGGAGAAAGCAGGGGAUCUUCGGACCUUGCGCUAAUAGAUGAGCCUAAGUCGGAUUAGCUAGUUGGUGGGGUAAAGGCCUACCAAGGCGACGAUCUGUAGCGGGUCUGAGAGGAUGAUCCGCCACACUGGGACUGAGACACGGCCCAGACUCCUACGGGAGGCAGCAGUGGGGAAUAUUGGACAAUGGGGGGAACCCUGAUCCAGCCAUGCCGCGUGUGUGAAGAAGGCCUUAUGGUUGUAAAGCACUUUAAGCGAGGAGGAGGCUACUGAGACUAAUACUCUUGGAUAGUGGACGUUACUCGCAGAAUAAGCACCGGCUAACUCUGUGCCAGCAGCCGCGGUAAUACAGAGGGUGCGAGCGUUAAUCGGAUUUACUGGGCGUAAAGCGUGCGUAGGCGGCUUUUUAAGUCGGAUGUGAAAUCCCNCGAGCUUAACUUGGGAAUUGCAUUCGAUACUGGGAAGCUAGAGUAUGGGAGAGGAUGGUAGAAUUCCAGGUGUAGCGGUGAAAUGCGUAGAGAUCUGGAGGAAUACCGAUGGCGAAGGCAGCCAUCUGGCCUAAUACUGACGCUGAGGUACGAAAGCAUGGGGAGCAAACAGGAUUAGAUA